rnacentral:rRNA from 1 species
AACGUAGGACGCAAGCGUUAUCCGGAGUUACUGGGCGUAAAGGGCAGGCAGGCGGGUCGAUAAGUCGGAUGUGAAAUCCCCAGGCUCAACUUGGGAACUGCAUCCGAUACUGGAUGGCUUGAAUUCGGGAGAGGGAUGCAGAAUUCCAGGUGUAGCGGUGAAAUGCGUAGAUAUCUGGAGGAAUACCGGUGGCGAAGGCGGCAUCCUGGACCGACAUUGACGCUGAACGGCGAAAGCUAGGGGAGCAAACGGG